rnacentral:lncRNA from 1 species
GAUGGCCAGCCCGUUGGGCAGCAGCCGCGCUGUCUUGUGCUUCUUGAUGAGCUGCACGGAGACCACCGGGAUCACCACCUUAAUGUCCUUCCCGAAGAGGUUGGCGUAGAAGCAGAGCCAGUUGGGGGAGAUGUAAAGCCGCCCCUGGAUGAGGAUGUCCCUCUGCAGCGCGCAGGAGCAGACUUUCAGCACACUCUCCUCCGUCGGGAUGUCCUUGAACAGCUUGUGGUACUGGGAGUUGUACUUGCUGGCAGCCGCUUCCCUCUGGCACUUCUUGAUGUCCUCCUCCUUCAGGGCCUCGAGGCUGCCGUCCGGGGCCUCCGCGCUGCGCUCCCUGGGCGCCGCCUGCAGCCUGUCGCGGCCCGGCAUGGGCUGGGGGCUCCUCGGGGGGGCGGCCCGCUCGUGCAUCGGCGCGGCGCUGCGGGGACAGCCCGUGAGCCCCGGCCCGCGGCCGCGCGCCGCCCGUCGCUCCGCCGCCCGAGGGCAGCGCUGGGCGGACAGAAAGGGGCCGCGCUCGGCCGGGGCUCCCGCUCGGCGCCUCGAGGACGCGGGGAUCUCCUCAGGGCCGCACGGAGCACAGCCGUGACCUUCCGCGCUGGCCUCGCGGCCCGCCGCCGCCCGGGACGGGCCGAGGGCCGCCCGCCCUCCCCCGGCCCCGGGGAGCGGCCCCCGUCCCGCGCCUCGGUCCCGCUCCCGCCGCGGGUUCCGAACCCG